GUUUUUGGUAGAGAAGAAGUUUCGCCAUGUUGGCCAGGACCCCUGCACAUUAAUUAGGAGGAAGUCAUGAUGUGGAUAACUCCAAAAGGUGAAAAUCCAAAAGUAAAUAAAGCACUGGAGGCUGCUGUGAUAAAGAGGAAAGGACGUCAAACCAGGAGUCAAAAUGCACAGGCUGAAGUCCUGGCCCUGCCACUGACUGUUGCUCAGAGACCUUCAGAGAUCCACAUCCCUCCUCCGGACCUCAGCUUUCUCCAGAGAAUCCCUCAAUGCUAACUGUUGCAGAGUACUCCAUGGAGUGCACCCAUCACACGUGGACUACACGGAGCUCCAGGGAUGGACAUCAGAUUUGCCUCUAACUCCUCAUCACCCUAAACAACAUUGUCAUCAACUCCAUUGCACAUGUCUCCUUGUGGACCCAUCACAGCACCAUCAGUUCCCACUGUUGCAGGCUAAGGAAGAAGCCUGUACACAGUCCCAUCUGGGUGGGAUUGGCUGUCCACAGAGGUAGGAAGACGAAGUGAUGCCAAGUAGGAUCAUCUUCCCUCCAGAACUUGGGCCCAGUCUUCCAGGAGUUGUCAUCUGUGCUUGGAGCAAUAACUCAUUUUCUCUCCUCUCUUACCAUGUGAAUUUUUCACUACUUUAAAAA
rnacentral:lncRNA from 10 species